UACAGAGGAGCCAAGCGUUGUCCGGAUUGACUGGGCGUAAAGCGCACGCAGGCGGACGCGCGCGUGGGGUGUGAAAUCUGGCCGCUUAACGGCCAGGCGCCAUCCCAUACGGCGCGUCUGGAGCAAUGCAGAGGUCGGUGGAAUUGCCGGUGUAGUGGUGAAAUGCGUAGAGAUCGGGAGGAACACCAGAGGCGAAGGCGGCUAGCUGGACAGUAACUGACACUCAACUACGAAAGCGUGGGGAGCAAACAGG
rnacentral:rRNA from 1 species